CAGGUAAGUGGGCUGCCAAUUAAAAACCAUCGGUCUGGUUUACUUUAGACACCAACUGAUUUAAUUAGUUUCAAUUAGAUCAACCUAACAGUUCGUGCUAGACCGCUUAGCUAAGAAUCAAGUCCAUUUGGUUCUCGUUAAAGACAUGGACUUGACCAACUAUAACUAUUGUAAUUGAUCUAGAGAAUCCUUGACCUAAUCUAAGACAACAAUUGAUUAGAUUUAGUCAAUUCUCUAAUUAAGUCCAUCUUUAAUCUAACC
rnacentral:lncRNA from 1 species